ACAUGCAAAUAUACUUGUACACACAUACAAACAAUGUAAUACAUUUUUGUAAAAAAAAGGGAGAGAGAACUGAGUGUUCCAAUUGGUCCAUGUGAAAUAAAACCGAUUACAAGGACAGCAGCACAGUGGAAGAGAACAGAAGUUGCCAUGUCACAGAAAAUGUGUGAUAGAAAAUGUACUUCAGAUACAUGCAGAAAAAGACCGCCAAGAACAUAGAGGAGAUGAACAACCAAACUCACUCCUGGCCUGCUCCAGCAUGGACUGAGAUAGCUGUUGUUUCUGCCGUAAGAGGGAGGAGUCUAAUGCCCCAAGGCUUGCGCUGGCAUCUUGUGCGACAGAGCCUCUUGUGAAAACUGAAGGCCAAUUAAGGAAGGCAGCAGCUUACCCUGGUUUGGUGUUGUGCUAUUUGGCCGCAUGUGUUCCCCUGUGUGUAAGAGACAGGACCGUGUUCCCCGUUACUACUGUUUUCUGGUUUGAAGAUGAAAUUGUCACCCACAAGUUGUUGGACUGCUUUGAAGAAAGAAGUUCCUCUCGAGUCACCUUCCUGGGAUGGUUGAUGUCUGUGGCAACUUGACUGCAUCAAGAACCUAAUCACCAUGGCGACUGGGUUGUGGCUGUCACAUAUCUAUAACAGCAAUGAGAAAAGCAUAUAUCUUGAAUUCAGCUCACUCCACUCAAACAGAUGUAUGUUGAAAACCUAAGUGCUCUGUAGUGUUCUGCUGGACUUCACCAACAGGCCAGAUUCAACAUGCACUGAUUGGUAAAUACCUCCAGAUGUCUUCCAUACUGGCAGAGGGUACCAUGCCUACCCGUGACGUCAUAGGAUAGCCUUAAGCAGGCUCCUCGAGAUGCUGCCAAUAACACCACAGGCAACACGGCAAACUGCCUGCCACUCCUCCAGUCAGCACAAAGAGGCUUGUUUCUCCUUUUGCCCCACAAAUACAACUGCAUUAUCUAUGAAUAAUUCAUACUCUCAUCCUCUAGAAUCUUCCAUUCUAGACACAGCCACCACAGACCCACCUAGCGACAGAUGAGACAGCAGACGAUCAGAAUGAAUCUUUGGGAUGGCAUUCUGUAGAUGGAAAGCGGCCAGACUAAAUGAAGAAAGUCCCCACGUCCCUUCUCUCAAAGCUUCCUUCUUUCUGUGAAAUGGAAGACAAGCGUUCAUUUUAGUCUCAUCUCAGUCUCAUCAUGUGGUUUCUCCCCCUUCCCCUAUUACUUUUUCUUCCAUAGUUGCCAUGGAGGGCACACCGAAGGGACAUUUAUCAGUGCCCAUGAUCGUCUGGUAAUUUUCCAGCCAACUUUGAUUUAAAAACAGCAAUGUCUUUAUCACUUAGAAACAUCCCCUAGACUAAUUCUGACUUUCUCCUUUCGUGUUGUGCGUCUUUCCUCCCAAACCACAUUUCCCUGAGGAACUGAAAGUACCAACAGUUGCUGUGGAAUCCUUUGUUUUGGAUUAGGUUUAAGUCUCUGCUUUUCACCCUUGAGUUUCCUGUGUGAGUCUUCACGGACAGGCCAUCUCCUUUAGACUGAAGGACUCCGAGGCCAGUGAAGUCCCGCCUUGUCUACCCUAGCACCUCUGAGGACUGUCUGCCUGGUUUCUGUAUGGGCACUGUAGGCUGCUGCUGGCUAUGAGGAAAUAGCCCACGGGGCAUUUUCUUGAUUGCUUAUGACUGAUUAACUUCCACUCACCUCGACUAGACCCAGCUGCGUAGGACUGUGACAAAAUGGUGUUUUCAUAAUUUCUCUAAUGAGUUCAAUGUGGGUAUUUCUCUUUUGGAUGAAUAGCCGUGCUUCUUUUAUGAACCGACGUGUAACAUGCAUUUACUGUUUUAUUUCCCAUGAAUGCCUCAUUUAUCUCAAUAGCGGUAUAAAUGGGAAAGCCAUGCCGAACCAUUGUGUGCCCCUGACGGUGCUCCAAGGGUGAUGUUGAAGACCUGUAAACAGAGACCUACAGGUGGCUUUCCCAGAAACAGAGGAAAUGACUUGCCUUUUAGAUCUGCUCAGCUUGUAUCACAUUUAUUCUGCAAAGAGCCAACAAUGACAUGUACGCUGCAGUUCAAAUUUAAUUUAUGCUGUUUGUUGUUUAAAAUGACUUGGUGUCUGCUGCGUUUACUGGGGGUGGGGGUGGGGGUGGGGAGGGACUGUUGAACGAGGCUAGCAAGUUCCUUUUGCAUCUAGUGCUUCCAUGCUAUGGCGGGUUAGGAGUUUACCUCAGAGUCCUGUUUAUCCAAGGCCUCACUGUCAAGAUGGUGUCUCCCAAGAUUCUCCAAACACACAUCUGCUCUGAGGAUACACUUCUGUUCGAAAUCAUAAAGUAAGGAGUAUCUGCCUUUGCAAUUCCAUGGUCACAUUUGUUGAUUGACUUCGUUUCGGAUCCCUGGUGGCCUUGAGACAAAGGGGAAAUGAGCGAGAAAGAAGCAUAUCGAGUUAUCCUGGUGUAACACAAAUAGGGGCAACAGGGACAGGAAUGGGUAGAGGGAUGCAAAGGGAGGGGCAGUGCCCAGGGCAGGUGUGAUAUUCACCUCUCUUCCCCAUCCCUGAGAUGAUAACAUUCCCCCACAUGUAUUCUCAGAUGCCUGGCACGCUGGCUAGGUAAGCGGACAGUAUUCUGUGCUCAUGCAAGACUCAGGCAGGACAGCUGAGAGAGAAGCCAGCAGGCACCUAUGAACUGUCCCUGGAAAAUGCUGGUGACUCAAGACAGAGGGAGGGGCCAGAGCAUCUAUCACACUAACUGCGUCAAAUCAUCUUGAAGAAACACGCGUCAGCCUGUGUAUGUUCUUAGAAUGAAUGUUUUGAAGAUAUUGUGAAACUGGAAGUCACUUAACCAGAGUUCUCGUCUGAAGAAUACCUGGCCACCUUGGGAGAGACUGCCUUUACACUCUGCAAAUUACCAAUGUAGAUAAGAGGCAGUGUGGUCUAUUGGUUAAGAGGUCUGACCACCUGAGCGUGAACAAAAACUUUAAUACUCACUCCUUCUGUGGCAUUGGGAUAGUUGCUUGGCCUGGGUCCUUACUUAUGAAGCAGUAAGCAUAAAACUGCGGUGACAGGGAACUGAGAUUCCAUGUAGGAUACUCAGCGUGCUGACUGACAUAUCAAAGCAAAGGUUAACUAGAAUCUGGAUGAUGUGGUAACAGUAUCUUAUCACCGAUAAAAAGAUACAUACAAUUGGGGAAGUCGAGUUAUCAUUAAAAGCAUGGUGUAAGCCAGUCAGAAGAAGCACAAUAUGUAUGAUUCUGCUAAUACGUGAGAUAUGUAGAGAGGUCAAAUAGAAAGAAAUGGAAACUAGAGAGGUGUUUGCUGACGGUCAGGAGAAAGGGGUAAGGAGCUGUUGUUACACGGGUACCUAAUUCUGUCUUGCAAGAUGGAAGAGAUGGGUUAGUAAUCACUUUCACCAUGAGCACAUUGAGCACAAGUAACUAUGUUUUAAAUGAGCAAGGUUAUGUCGUGUGAAAAUAAUUUUUUUAUGAUUUGUUUUUAUUUAUAUUACUACAUUGUAGCUGUCUUCAUACACACACCAGAAGAGUGCAUCAGAUCCCAUUACAGAUGGUUGUGAGUCACCAUGUGGUUGCUGGGAAUUGAACUCAGGACCUCUGGAAGAGCAGACAGUGCUCUUAACUACUGAGCCACCUCUCCAGCCCGUGAAAACAAUUUUGUUUUCAUUUUGAGAUAAACUCCUGAUGUAGCCCAGGCUGGCCUCAAACUUACCAUCCUCUUGCCUCUGCCUCCCAAAUUCUUGGAUUACAUUAAAGGUGUCACCACACUAGUCUAAAACACUUUGUUUCUAAUUGUGGUAAAAAGCACACAGCAAAAUGGGAACAUGGUAGCACAUAGAUGUAACCCCAGCUUGCUUAUCAGGAGAUAAAGAUGGGAAGAUUGUAAAUUUGAAAGUCGUCUGGCUAUAGAGACUUUCGAAAUUAAAGCUAAGUAACUAAUAAAAUCCUAUUUUUCUUGAAAA